AUUGUUUCAUGUAUCAUUAUAAACUAAAUUUAUAAUAAUUUUUAUUUAAAAGAAUUUAAUUUAUAUUAGUUCUAAGCAUAAAGAUUUCGCUAUGAUUUCAAAUUGAAAUUGUAAUCUUUACGAUAAGUUUUGAGAAAUGACGCCUCAGAAGUGACCCUAUUAUCUUGCGUAACGUGACAGAAGGUAAAUAAUAAAGUUUUGAUAGGUACCCACAAAUUUUUAAAAUAUGUCCUUUAAAACAGUUUGUAGAACACUUAAUUAUGUUCGAACUCCUCUUUUAAUGUGGGAAAACAUUAAUGAUUGCAAAGGAUCUGAUGUUGUAGUGUGUAUUACGGGUAAUCCAGGAAUCAUAGAUUUCUAUACAGAAUUUGGUUCCGAAGUACACAAGAAUACUGGACUUCCUGUGUGUGUUAUUGGACAAGCUGGACAUGACGAACCUUCGAGCGGACCAGAGGAAAAGUUAGAAAGUAGUGAUAAUUUGUACAAUCUUAAAGUAACAGAGAUAAUUGGGCACCAAUAGAGUACUUCGAUGACUUCAUACGCUUCAAGCCAUCAAUUGAAAUGAAACUGGUAGUGUCGGGGCAAGACGAAAUAUGGACAUGGGCAAGAUAUAUUUUUCGCGAUGCAAAAGACGUUUUUUGGAAAUCCUGCCCCC
rnacentral:misc_RNA from 1 species